GAUCCGGCUCAGGAUGAACGCUAGCUACAGGCUUAACACGUGCAAGUCGAGGGGCAGCAUGGUCUUAGCUUGCUAAGGCCGAUGGCGACCGGCGCACGGGUGAGUAACACGUAUCCAACCUGCCGUCUACUCUUGGACAGCCUUCUGAAAGGAAGAUUAAUACAAGAUGGCAUCAUGAGUCCGCAUGUUCACAUGAUUAAAGGUAUUCCGGUAGACGAUGGGGAUGCGUU
rnacentral:rRNA from 1 species